ACGGAAGGCAGCAGUGGGGGAUAUUGGUCAAUGGGGGAAACCCUGAACCAGCGACGCCGCGUGAGUGAAGAAGUAUUUCGGUAUGUAAAGCUCUAUCAGCAGGGAAGAAAAAAUCAAAAUUGACAGUACCUGACUAAGAAGCCCCGGCUAACUACGUGCCAGCAGCCGCGGUAAUACGUAGGGGGCAAGCGUUAUCCGGAUUUACUGGGUGUAAAGGGAGCGCAGGCGGUUUUUUAAGUCUGAUGUGAAAGCCCGUGGCUCAACUGCGGGACUGCAUUGGAAACUGGAGAACUAGAGUGUCGGAGGGGCAAGUGGAAUUCCUAGUGUAGCGGUGAAAUGCGUAGAUAUUAGGAGGAACACCAGUGGCGAAGGCGGCUUGCUGGACGAUAACUGACGCUGAGGCUCGAAAGCGUGGGGAGCAAACAGGAUUAGAUACCCUGGUA
rnacentral:rRNA from 1 species